rnacentral:pre_miRNA from 11 species
GGGCUGCUCAGUAGUCGGUGUAGAAUCUGUCUGAUGAUACCCACAGCUACAUCUGAUUACUGGGUUUCCU